GCUGGGGAAGAAAUGACUGUACCCAGUAAAGAAACCCCGGCUAACUCCGUGCCAGCAGCCGCGGUAAUACGGAGGGGGUUAGCGUUGUUCGGAAUUACUGGGCGUAAAGCGCGCGUAGGCGGAUCAGAAAGUUGGGGGUGAAAUCCCAGGGCUCAACCCUGGAACUGCCUCCAAAACUCCUGGUCUUGAGUUCGAGAGAGGUGAGUGGAAUUCCAAGUGUAGAGGUGAAAUUCGUAGAUAUUUGGAGGAACACCAGUGGCGAAGGCGGCUCACUGGCUCGAUACUGACGCUGAGGUGCGAAAGUGUGGGGAGCAAACAGGAUUAGAUACCCUGGUAGUCCACACCGUAAACGAUGAAUGCCAGUCGUCGGGUAGUAUACUGCUCGGUGACACACCUAACGGAUUAAGCAUUCCGCCUGGGGAGUACGGUCGCAAGAUUAAAACUCAAAUGAAUUGACGGA
rnacentral:rRNA from 1 species